GUGAACGCUGGCGGCGUGGAUGAGGCAUGCAAGUCGAAUGGGCUCAGACCCAUGGCAGACGAGGUAGGAACAAGUAGGUACGUACCCCAAAGUCAGGGAUAACCCGUCGAAAGGCGGAAUAAUACUUGAUGGUCUCGAAAGAGUAAAGAUUUAUCGCUUUGGGAAUGGCCUGCUUUCUAUCAGCUUGUUGGUAAGGUAACGGCUUACCAAGGCUACGACGGAUAGGGGAGGUGAGAGCCUGACCCCCACCGAUGGAACUGCGACACGGUCCAUACUCCUACGGGAGGCUGCAGUCGAGAAUCUUCCGCAAUGGACGAAAGUCUGACGGAGCGACGCCGCGUGGUAGAUGAAGUCCUUAGGGACGUAAAUACCUUUUAUGAGGGAAGAAGUUUAUUGACAUUACCUCAUGAAUAAGGGGCUCCCAAUUCUGU
rnacentral:rRNA from 1 species